rfam:Acidobacteria bacterium RIFCSPLOWO2_02_FTLL_61_28 rifcsplowo2_02_scaffold_5963, whole genome shotgun sequence.
CCCAGGGCUUGCGCCCUGGGCUAGAAUCUGCCGCCCCUGCGGGGCU